rnacentral:rRNA from 1 species
AGUGAACGCUGGCGGUAGGCCUAACACAUGCAAGUCGAACGGCAGCACAGUAAGAUCUUGCUCUUACGGGUGGCGAGUGGCGGACGGGUGAGGAAUACAUCGGAAUCUACUUUUUCGUGGGGGAUAACGUAGGGAAACUUACGCUAAUACCGCAUACGAUCUACGGGUGAAAGCAGGGGAUCUUCGGACCUUGCGCGACUGAAUGAGCCGAUGUCGGAUUAGCUAGUUGGCGGGGUAAAGGCCCACCAAGGCGACGAUCCGUAGCUGGUCUGAGAGGAUGAUCAGCCACACUGGAACUGAGACACGGUCCAGACUCCUACGGGAGGCAGCAGUGGGGAAUAUUGGACAAUGGGCGCAAGCCUGAUCCAGCCAUGCCGCGUGGGUGAAGAAGGCCUUCGGGUUGUAAAGCCCUUUUGUUGGGAAAGAAAAGCAGCAGGUUAAUACCCCGCUGUUCUGACGGUACCCAAAGAAUAAGCACCGGCUAACUUCGUG